CUACGGGAGGCUCCAGGCGAGAAAACUUUGUAAUGUGCGAAAGCACGACAAGGUUAAUCCGAGUGGUUUGUGCUAAACGAACCUUUUGACAGUCCUAGAAACACUGUUGAAUAAGGGGUGGGCAAGUUCUGGUGUCAGCCGCCGCGGUAAAACCAGCACCUCAAGUGGUCAGGAUGAUUAUUGGGCCUAAAGCAUCCGUAGCCGGCUCUGUAAGUUUUCGGUUAAAUCUGUACGCUCAACGUACAGGCUGCCGGGAAUACUGCAGAGCUAGGGAGUGGGAGAGGUAGACGGUACUCGGUAGGAAGGGGUAAUAUCCUUUGAUCUAUUGAUGACCACCUGUGGCGAAGGCGGUCUACCAGAACACGUCCGACGGUGAGGGAUGAAAGCUGGGGGAGCAAACCGGAUUAGAUACCCGUGUAGUC
rnacentral:rRNA from 1 species